UCAGACAGAAUUCCGUGGGCUCCAGAGGUUUCCCUAGAAAGAUCUCUACUAUACAUACUUUCAGCGGCCGACGGGGUGCUUCGGGAGAAUUUUUAAAUUGCUGCUUUUUAAAAAUGUCAUCAGGCUCCUCUCCGCUAUGACAGUUUAUCAGACUUUGCUUUUGAUGACCUUGGCAGUUUUGAAGAGUGCCGGUCGGUGAUGGAGAUGGAACGCAAGGUUUUGUACAUGCUGGGU